rnacentral:tRNA from 4 species
GCCGCUAUCGUCUAACGGUUAGGACACAUGAUUCUCAAUCAUGUAAUCGGGGUCCGAUUCCCCGUAGCGGUACCA